GAUCAUGGCUCAGGAUGAACGCUAGCGGCAGGCUUAACACAUGCAAGUCGAGGGGCAACGCGAGUAGCAAUACUUGGCGGCGACCGGCGCAAGGGUGCGUAACGCGUGAGCAACAUGCCCGUAUCAGGGGGAUAAUCCAGGGAAACUUGGUCUAAUACCCCAUAGUAAUUUUGUAAGGCAUCUUAUAAGAUUUAAAGCUUUGGUGGAUACGGAUUGGCUCGCGUGACAUUAGCUGGAUGGUAAGGUAACGGCUUACCAUGGCUAUGAUGUCUAGGGGUUCUGAGAGGAAGGUCCCCACACUGGAACUGAGACACGGUCCAGACUCCUACGGGAGGCAGCAGUGAGGAAUAUUGGACAAUGGAUGGAAAUCUGAUCCAGCCAUGCCGCGUGAAGGAAGAAGGUCCUAUGGAUUGUAAACUUCUUUUGUAUGGGAGCAAUAAGGCCUACGAGUAGGUUGAUGAGAGUACCAUACGAAUAAGCACCGGCUAACUCCGUGCCAGCAGCCGC
rnacentral:rRNA from 1 species